rnacentral:rRNA from 1 species
AUACGGAGGGUGCAAGCGUUAAUCGGAAUUACUGGGCGUAAAGCGCACGCAGGCGGUUGGUUAAGUCAGAUGUGAAAUCCCCGGGCUCAACCCGGGAACUGCAUUUGAAACUGGCCAGCUUGAGUCUCGUAGAGGGAGGUAGAAUUCCAGGUGUAGCGGUGAAAUGCGUAGAGAUCUGGAGGAAUACCGGUGGCGAAGGCGGCCUCCUGGACGAAGACUGACGCUCAGGUGCGAAAGCGUGGGGAGCAAACAGGAUUAGAUACCCUGGUAGUCCACGCCGUAAACGAUGUCUAUUUGGAGGCUGUGCCCUUGAGGCGUGGCUUCCGGAGCUAACGCGUUAAAUAGACCGCCUGGGGAGUACGGCCGCAAGGUUAAA